rnacentral:lncRNA from 1 species
UUUUUUUUUGAGACAGAGUCUCGCUCUGUCGCCCAGGCUGGAGUGCAGUGGCACAAUCUCGGCUCACUGCAACCUCCACCUCCCGGGUUCACGCCAUUCUCCUGCCUCAGCCUCCCAAGUAGCUGGGACUACAGGCGCCCGCCACCACGCCUGGCUAAUUUUUUGUAUUUUUAGUAGAGACGGGGUUUCACCGUGUUAGCUAGGAUGGUCUCGAUCUCCUGACCUUGUGGUCCGCCCACCUCGGCCUCCCAAA